UCUCUUCCUCUCCCGGUCUCCCCUCGCCCUUUCUGAAACUCUCGCUUCCCCGCCCAAAUCCCCUCUUCCCUCCCAAAAUUCCCCCAAAUCCGCAAACCUUCGCGAGCAAGCGCCAAUGGCCGGAUCGCCGCCGUCUUACCACCCCGUCCUCGACGACGACGACGGAUUCGACUGGGAUGCGGCCGUGCGCGAGAUCGACAGCGCCUGCGCCCUCGCUGCCUCGGCCUCCACGGCCCCCGCCGCCGUAUCGACCUCGGCGCCACCCGCCCAGCCCUGGGCGGCCGCUCCCUCGUGGACGGCGCCGCUCCACGUCCCCUCGGCGGCGGCGGCGGCGCCGUUCCCCGGGCCUGCCGUAGGCGGCACGCGGCAGUCGACGCUCCACCGCUUCGUCGACUCCUUCACCAGGAGGCAGGCCUCGAAAGAGAACCUGCCCCCUGCGCCGGUGGUUCCCGCGGCGGCGCCCGCUGGCGGAGGGGCGCGCUUUCCGGAGAGCUCUGACGUGGGGUGCUCAGGGAGGGCGGGCGAGGACGUGGCCGUGGAGGGGUCCUGCGCCGUGGCUCUCGACCAUGAGGCGGUGCAGACGUGGAUCUAUCCAACUAAUGUAGAAGUCCGAGAGUAUCAACAAUAUAUCGUCCAAAAGGCCUUGUUUACAAAUACACUAGUGGCUUUGCCAACUGGACUUGGCAAAACUUUUAUUGCUGCAGUAGUGAUGUAUAACUAUUUUAGAUGGUUCCCUGAAGGUAAAAUAGUAUUUACCGCCCCUUCACGCCCGCUUGUUACUCAGCAAAUUGAGGCAUGUCAUAAUACAGUGGGUAUACCACAGGAGUGGGCGAUUGAUAUGAAAGGGAAUCUAAGCCCUGAGAAGCGAACAAGUUUUUGGAAGUCUAAAAGAGUGUUCUUCGUCACUCCACAGAUUCUUGAGAAUGAUAUACGAUCUGGUAUAUGCAUGGUGAAACAACUGGUUUGCUUGGUGAUAGAUGAAGCUCAUAGAGCUUCUGGAAAUCAUUCUUACUGUAGUGCUGUCCGUGAGUUGGUGGCAUCAAAUGUACCAUUAAGAAUUUUAGCUUUGACUGCUACACCAGGAUCAAAGCAUCCAGAUAUUCAAGGUGUUAUCAACAAUUUACACAUAUCAGAGUUGAUUCAUCGUGACGAAAGUGAUCCUGAAGUCCAACGAUAUGUUAACACACGCACAGUUGAUCUCGUAAAGGUUCCUGUUGGCAGUGAUACAGCUCAAAUCAAUGAGAUGCUUUUAGAAAUUAUACGUCCACAUAUUGCCCAACUGCGUGCUGCUGGGGUGAUUGACAAUAGGGAUGCUUCAAAUUGGACCCCACAUCAACUGCACAUUUUAAAGGAGAAAUUCAACCAAGCACCCCUACCAAAUCUUCCCUUGGAAAAGAAAAAAGAAAUUCGCAGAUCUUUUGCGGCUGUUGUCUCACUUUGUCGUAUAAGUAAAUUGCUAUUGAGCCAUGGAAUCAAGCCAGCACAUCAGUCGAUUGAAGCUACAUGGAGUGAAGGGGCGUGGAAUUUGUUUUCAAGGAAUGAAGUCUUCAUAAAAGCAAAGGAAAUGAUGGGGAGCAUCGUGGGAAAGGGUGUGCCUAGUCCAAAAGUGCAUAAAUUGGUAGAAGUGUUACUCGAUCACUUCCACAAAAAGAAUCCAAAGGACUCAAGGGUGAUAAUAUUUUCACAUUACCGGGAAAGUGUCAAAGAAAUAUUGGGUGCACUGAGUGAUAGUGGUACCGGAAUUUUCAGACCUGCUCAAUUCAUCGGUCAAACCUCUACAGGUGACAGGCUGAAGGGGCAGACACAGAAAAUGCAGCAGGCUAUUUUACAGAAAUUUCGGUCCGGGGAAUACAAUAUUUUGGUGGCAACAUCAAUUGGUGAGGAAGGACUAGAUAUUAUGGAGGUUGAUCUUGUGAUCUGUUUCGAUGCCAAUGUCUCUCCAUUAAGAAUGAUUCAGCGAAUGGGAAGGACUGGGCGGAAGCAUGAAGGGCGAGUUGUGGUUCUGGCUUGUGAAGGGCAGGAGUUGCAAGGGUACACAAGGAAACAAGGAAGUACUCGGACGAUGAAGAAUCUAUUACGUAAACGUGACAAAUUUGAUUACCAUGCUAGUCCUAGGAUGGUUCCACAUGUCUAUAAACCAGAAGUUAAAUAUGUUAAAUUGUCAAUAGAGAAGUAUGUUCCUCACUCAAAGAAAAUAAAAGUCGAUGCUAGUUGUGUAUCUCCAAUUUUGAAUAAGUUGUCAGAGGAAGACGGUCAAUUGAUUGCUCGGUACUUCAUUGCAUGCAAAGAGGAUAUUUGGAAGCCAUCUCUUGUUGCAUUUCCUAGUUUUCAGGUUUCUCCAUGCGAUAUCUAUAAAGUACCCCAUUCAUUUCGAACCACAGAUAUGCUAGUUGAUGCUAUGCAACAACUUCAAGAUCUUUCUUUCUCUACAACAAAGAAUACCUAUGUUCAAUGUGGAAGCCCUUUACGAGAAUCUGCUGAUGUAGCAACGGUGAAGGACCAGGCACCGGAAGUGGAAUGUCCUUACUUUUCAUCUGGAGAAGUGGCAUUGAGUAAAAGUGUCUGUGUGCCAAGUUCUCCGGUCAACAAAUAUCCUCUCCACUCUUUCUUCAGUGGAGAUUAUGUAACUGUGGAUGUUGGAGGCUUCGUGUCAAUUACCUUUGUACCUGCCCUGCCGAGAUCAGCUGAAAUCAAUAAGGACAAAACAAACAUAAAUUGGCAACAGAAAGUUCAGAACAAGACCACUCCUUUCAGUGGUCCAACAACAGAUGGUGCUUAUUCAAGAAAUUUGAUAUUUGUAACUAAUGCAUCCAGUUUAGCCCCUCAUUCCCCAGAAUAUUCCAAACAUGACCAUGAUAAACAUAACAUCCACCCUGGAUCUCCAUCUAACACAUUUACAAGCCCAAGAGAAAAAUGGGACUCGCCAUGCAAUACUAAACCAGGGAGCCCAGUUUUGUCAGUUCAACAAGAUAGUGAGGAACUUAGUCCCAGGUUAACCCAUUAUAUUGAAGAAGGAAUUGUUCCCGAGUCUCCAAUCCUCGAUGUUAACCACCAGCAAUUAGAAAUAGACAGUGCUGCUAAUGCUUGUUUUAUUCCUAAGGUUUGUUCUUCGAAGACACACGGUCAGGGAGUUCAGACCAAUGGUUCAGGAUGCCAGAACGGACCAUUGAGCUUUUGGAAGAAAGGUCAAAUUUCUGCUGGGGUCACUGAAUUUCCAAGUUCGUCCAGAGAUGAUGUCCUAGAUAAGAUUCAAGCAAGGACGGAAGAGCCAAUGUGUCCUUCAAAUGCGAAAAUGUGUAGUCCUGCUGCUCAUACUCCUACAGCAAAUCUACUGUGUGAUAGUUUAUCUGAUGAGUGGCAGGUUAAUUCAGUAGUAGGGGAUACAUCAGGGUCAGUACAGCAAGCACCCAAGUACAGAAGACUCUGCAAAUUUGGUGACAAGAUCAAGAGAGUUUCCUCAGUGUCUUUGAAUAACAGAUAUGAUAGAUUUGUUGAAGGACAAUACGAUCUUGCAAAUAAAACUAUGCCCAACCAAAUGGAGCAUGCUAUUGGAAACAAAGGGAAGGCCAAGAGGCGUCUGGAUAUAUACAUCGAUGAGGAAGUCGAGGUGUCCGAAGAUGCUAAUAUUUCAGUGGAUGAGGAUGAUGGUCAGAGUGACGACAAAUACGAAGAUAGCUUUAUUGAUGAUCAGACAACUCCUACAGGCCAAUUCACCCAGAGUGAACAAGGUGGUCAAAACACUGGUGACAUGAUGGCCUUCUAUAGGCGAUCACUACUUACUCAGUCCACAGUAGUUCUGCCAUCAAGAUACCAAGAUGUCUCUGACAAUUCUGCUUAUAGAGCUGGAAGUUCGAGCUGUUCAUCUGGGAACUUGCACAAUCCUAUUGAGACUCCACGAGGGAUUCCUCAAACACAUGAUACCACUGGCCCAAGUCCUCUAGGCUCCAUGGAGAGAGCUAGUUCGAUAAAGGAACAGGGUGAAGCAAGUGUGAUCAAUUGUGAAUCAACCACCAAAUUAGACAGCAGAAAGAGAAAGCUAAGCUUCCAGCAAGCUGUCUCAAUUCCUGUCAUAAAUCUUGAACCGGAACCAGAACUGGAACCGGCACCACCUUCUGCACAUCUUACUACUGGAGUCAAUAAUGACAUAUACUGGGACGACGAUGCUUUCUUUGAGAGCCUUGACUUCGAUGCAAUCGAAGCACAAGCGACCGAGCAACUGAGACUCCAGAAAGCACAAUCAGCACAGAAACCAGCAGAAACUAAGCGAGCAUCUGAUCUGAGCUUCCCACCUCCAUCAUUUGAUCUUGGGUUCUGACAGCCCAUGUUGGUGAGCUGCCAUUCGGAAUAUGUUCAUGUAGCUGUGCCACCAGAUUAUCCAGGAUCAUGGUCACAAACCGUGACGGCAAAUCAGUCUGUUACGUUGACCUUUUCCACCCAAAUGUUCUGACUUAAAGCACAUGACAGCAGGCUUCAAGACAUUCAGACAUGCCUGGAGUGCUGCUGGCAAGACUUCUUCCUGGCGUAUUUAUGAGGAAGCCUGGAAGAUCAGACAGUGGCAAAUGUUAAGAGGUGUGUGUGGCAGUUAUGUAUCAUUUCGUCCAGAAUUGUGUACCAUGUGCAACAGCAUGUCCCUAAAUAUCUUCUGAUACAGAAGUGCUUAGCUGUGUCCAUAUAUACACCAGUUGUCCAGUUAGAAACUUGGAGCUCAGUGAUAGCUUAGCCAUGCAGUGAAAAGUGGCUACCUUUGCUCAACCAAGUGAUUCUGCAUGGCUGCAAGGUAGAUAGAAAGUGUGAGUGGCUGCUGCGUUGGUGCCUGGUAGCUUUCUCCAAGCAAAGAGGGAAAUUAUUCCGAAUCUGUCACAUCCACUGCUCAGUACACACAGCUUCCUCGCCCCAGUGUGAACUGGGAGAUUCUGAGCACAGCAGUCAUUUUCCUUGACGAAAACAGACAGGAGCUGUGCUGAGUGACUGAGUACUCCGGAAGAUAGCCGUGCCAGUGACUUAUCCACGCUGGAGGCAUCGUGAAACGGCUGGAGGGAUGGGUGGUUUUGGCGACUUGUUAAGAGUGGAUGGUGAGACGAUUUGCUGGAGCGGGUCGCGAUAAGGAUGCAAUUAGGAUCCUGGUUGUGUCCCGUUUAUAGGCCAAUUUGCAAGUUCAAAUGUUUUUUUGCUCAAAAUUUGAAAGAUUUGGAGGUUGUUCUAGAACAGGACGUAUGCUGGAUACUGUUUGCGUCGCUAGGUCGCGGCAUGGUCUUUUUCAUCAACUGCCUGUCGGUCUCCAGUGUUCGUGUGUGCAACGGUUUCUGCCUGGCCAUCUAGUUUGGUAUUUGGGCAUUCGUGCAUUUUGAGAGAUUAUCUUUUUAUAUCAGUAUAUUCCGAUGUUAGAACAAUAGUUGUCCUUUUAGGGCACGUAAAUAGAUAUGGAGAGAUAAGAGGAGAAAGUAUAUAGUCGAUCGGUGUAUUGCUA